rnacentral:rRNA from 1 species
UGCCGGCGACCGGCGGACGGGUGCGUAACGCGUAUGUAACCUACCUUUGACAGGGGGAUAACAUCGAGAAAUUGGUACUAAUACCCCAUAACAUCACCGGAGGCAUCUUCGGUGGUUGAAAACUCAGGUGGUCAGAGAUGGACAUGCGUUGUAUUAGCUAGUUGGUGAGGUAACGGCUCACCAAGGCGACGAUACAUAGGGGGACUGAGAGGUCAACCCCCCACAUUGGCACUGAGACACGGACCGAACUCCUACGGGAGGCAGCAG